rnacentral:misc_RNA from 1 species
CUUUACUCUUUAGAGAUGAAGAGAGGUAUCAACAUCAGGACUUUCAAAAUUCCUUGAUGAGGAGGUUCCAGUGUUGGGCCAUAAGCUUGUUGAGGUCUUCAUAGUAUCACCAUGGUUAUUGCUAUGUGUAUUGAGUCCAAGGGAGAGAUGAGAAUCUUGAAGGGCAGGUGCCUUAUUUGGAAGGAUCGUCUCAGGUUGGUGGUAGGUCAACUUGCUAGGCUCAAAAUGCAUACCUGGCGGAGCACUACUCCUUUCAGAUUCUGAGAACAGCUUGAGAAGUUCUUUCUCCUUUCUCUUCUCCCUUAUUUUCUGCAAUUCUCUAAACCUUUCUUGAAGAAGUGCUAUGGAGGAACUAGCCACAGUUGCAUCACUAUUUUGCCUACCCAUCUGAGACGAUCCU